rnacentral:lncRNA from 1 species
UCGGCAAAGUUUCUAUUUCAGACAAUCGUUGAAGACCAGCAGGAAGCAACAAGGUAGAAAGUCUCAGCAUUUGAGGCCAACUUCCACUCUUCCAUUAAACUUGUGGACACAAAUCAGCAACAGGAACAUGAUAUUCUCAGAGUUCUAAUCAGAUUGAUAGAGUUCGUUUACUGUUUCAAGAAAAUUAGCAAAACAGGAAGUGGGCCAAGAGGAUACCUGCUUUGCUUAGGCCUUAGGACUUGCCUUGUGUUAACUGUCGGCAAAGGACACCAGUCACGUUCUUAACUGUUGUCCGGGUUCGGCCGUGGAGGGAAGCGGGUGAGUGAGGUGAAAAAAACGUUUUCCU